UGCUAGUCAUCUUCAAUGAGUGCUGCACCUGGAUAAUGUGAGAAACCACAACAACAAACCCACCCAUGUGCAGCUCUUAAGGAGAGAGCUGAAGGUGAAACUCCUUCCUGAUCUCCAAGUGAAGAAUGAAAUCUAUCUUCAUUUCUUCUGUCUCAGAAAGUAUUGUGAUAUGAAACAAUCUACAUCGAAUUCUGUGCUUAACUAAGGGACGGACCAUUUUGUGCAUGCAAUCUGGCAGAUGUGUGGGAUGUGGGAAAAGGUGACUGACAGCAAUGAACAGAAACGUUAAAGGAGACACAAAAGAAAAAAGAAGUCUAAUUCAAGUGUACACUUAUUUAGCUUUACAUGAAAAUGACGUUCUUCUCUGAAGAUUUAUUUUGUCAAAAAUUCUUAUCAAUACCAAUUCCCAAAAGAUGUAUCUGGGUUGUUGUUGUUUUUUUUUCCUGAGAAAAAAGGUUUCUCCAGACAGCAUCCCUCCCUUCUUUUGUGUCAACUGCACUACUCAGCUUGGUGUAAUCAGCAUAUUUUUUGAAGGUACUCUCAAUCAAUGUCUAUGCCAUUGUUAAAGUUGCUGAAGAGUACUGGUCCCAAGAUGAACCCCUGAGGGACACCAUUCAUGAAGGGCCUGCACCAGGACACGGAGCCAUUGACCACAACUCUCUGGCUGUGGCCAUUCAACCAGUGAUUUAUCCAAUGAACAAUCCACCAUUCAAAUACAUAUCCCUGCAAUUUAGAGAUAAGAAUGUGGUGGUGGACCGUAUCAAAGGUCUUGCACAAGUCCAGGUAGAUGAUACCAGUUUCAUUUCCUUUGUCCACCGAUGCCAUGGCACUAUCGUAGAAGGCCACCAGAUUUGUGUACUUUAACUACAAUUUGAGGUAAUAUCAAUACAUUUCUAAGUAACUUAUUCUACCUUUUAGUCUGAUAUCAUCACUAUUUCAUCAUCAUGCAGAACCUGUUACCUUGCAUUUGAUUAAUGCCUGUCAUUCAUUCUGGCACGAAAAAUAAGCCAGAUCCCUAUUGGUAGUUUGAAAAACUAUGUUCUUCACUGUUAAAUUUAUUCAUUUAGGGAUAAUGAUGUUGUUUAUGUUUCUUCAGAAUACUUAUUUCUCUUUUUCAAAUAUGGUGUGCUUUUGUUGCCAGAAGAUGUCAUAUAAGCCAAAUUCAGUGCUGUGUUUUGUGCUUUCCUGUGGAAGCUACACUGAUGGCAGUGGUCUCUGAAGGGUUGGUUUUUUUUUUUUCAUUUUCUUUGUAUGUUGCGUGUAAUUUUUUUUGUUGUUGUGCAUUUUCGUAAAAUUAUGGUUUGGAGUGUAAUACAUGAAAAUAAAUAGCUGAGCAAUGUUUAUAAAAAAUAAACAAGAUAAAAGUAACGUCUUUGAAAAGGGGGAGGAAGUAGAAAUUCUGACAAAUAUUUCAUGACUAUUUUUUGAGAACAGUUGGUUUAAAUUUCCAAAUAACUUUUGUUUCAAAGGGGCAGUAUCAAAACACAUGCGAAAAAUAAAAUUCUAAAUAAGGCACAAUAAAUUAUUUCACUGCUUAGGUAUUGGAUUUCAAAGGGAGAAGAGAGUAUGCACAAGGAUAUUAGAGUGGACUAUAUUGUAUCUUUGGGAAUUGCUGUCAAAUAUUGAUGAAAAUAGAGAGACUGUCAGAGAUCAGAUAAAAGAAAGAAAUGAUUACAUUUGGAAGAACAAUGUGAAAUGUGUGGCCAACAGAGAUUUCAAAUGUAAGCUAAUAGCAAUCCACCAAAGAACAAAGCUGGAGGAAGUCCCACAUAUUCAGUCGCAUUUACAGUCAGUUAGCAUAUGUAAAAAUGUUACGGUGCAUUUUCCCUCAUUUGGAACUCACAAAGUACUCGGUUCAGUAGAUUUGACUAUGGCAAAUAGUUACAGUAUAUUGCCAGGCAUCAGAAAGUUGGAAGAAAAAGUGACAAACACUGUUUAGGUCAUUUUGUUAUAACAUUACUUUUCAAAAUACUAACACAACUUUUGGGCUUUCCAGAAUUUAAUCAAGUUAUGAAAAGAAAACGCUUACUGCUUUUAUAUAUUA